AUCGAACGCUGGCGGCAGGCUUAACACAUGCAAGUCGAGCGAGCGGCGGACGGGUGAGUAAUGUCUGGGAAACUGCCUGACGGACGGGGAUAACUACUGGAAACGGUAGCUAAUACUGCAUACCACCAGAUGUGUCGAGAUGGGAUGAGCUAGUAGGUGGGGUAAGGGCUCACCUAGGCGACGAUCCCGAGCUGGUCUGAGAGGAUGACCGGCCACACUGGGACUGAGACACGGUCCGGACUCCUACGGGAGGCAGCAGUGGGGAAUAUUGCGCAAUGGGCGCAAGCCUGAUCGAGCCAUGCCGCGUGUGUGAAGAAGGCCUUCGGGUUGUAAAGCUCUUUCAGCGGGGAAGCGUUACUCGCAGAAGAAGCACCGGCUAACUCCGUGCCAGCAGCCGCGGUAAUUC
rnacentral:rRNA from 1 species